UACGAAGGGGGCUAGCGUUGCUCGGAAUCACUGGGCGUAAAGGGUGCGUAGGCGGGUCUUUUAAGUCAGGGGUGAAAUCCUGGAGCUCAACUCCAGAACUGCCUUUGAUACUGAAGAUCUUGAGUUCGGGAGAGGUGAGUGGAACUGCGAGUGUAGAGGUGAAAUUCGUAGAUAUUCGCAAGAACACCAGUGGCGAAGGCGGCUCACUGGCCCGAUACUGACGCUGAGGCACGAAAGCGUGGGAGCAACAGG
rnacentral:rRNA from 1 species